UGACACUGAUGCUCGAAAGUGUGGGUAUCAAACAGGAUUAGAUACCCUGGUAGUCCACACAGUAAACGAUGAAUACUCGCUGUUUGCGAUAUACAGUAAGCGGCCAAGCGAAAGCAUUAAGUAUUCCACCUGGGGAGUACGCCGGCAACGGUGAAACUCAAAGGAAUUGACGGGGGCCCGCACAAGCGGAGGAACAUGUGGUUUAAUUCGAUGAUACGCGAGGAACCUUACCCGGGCUUAAAUUGCAGUGGAAUGAUGUGGAAACAUGUCAGUGAGCAAUCACCGCUGUGAAGGUGCUGCAUGGUUGUCGUCAGCUCGUGCCGUGAGGUGUCGGCUUAAGUGCCAUAACGAGCGCAACCCUUAUCUUCAGUUACUAACAGGUCAUGCUGAGGACUCUGGAGAGACUGCCGUCGUAAGAUGUGAGGAAGGUGGGGAUGACGUCAAAUCAGCACGGCCCUUACGUCCGGGGCUACACACGUGUUACAAUGGGGGGUACAGAAGGCAGCUAGCGGGUGACCGUAUGCUAAUCCCAAAAUCCUCUCUCAGUUCGGAUCGAAGUCUGCAACCCGACUUCGUGAAGCUGGAUUCGCUAGUAAUCGCGCAUCAGCCACGGCGCGGUGAAUACGUUCCCGGGCCUUGUACACACCGCCCGUCAAGCCAUGGGAGCCGGGGGUACCUGAAGUACGUAACCGCAAGGAUCGUCCUAGGGUAAAACUGGUGACUGGGGCUAAG
rnacentral:rRNA from 1 species